CCUUCCCCAACCACAAACCAGCUCCCGCCCCAACUCCUCCACUCUCUCUCUCUCUCUUGCCACCUCACCAGCAAUAUGCCAUUCAUGUAAAUCACCAUUAGAAAAAAGAAAAAAAAAAGAAUCAGAACAGACCUCUCUUCUCCUGGCAAUCAUUUCCUGUUGUCACCACGGCAAUUACCAACCAGACCCCCCAACACAUGAUAGGGGGGCAAGUGUGUGACUGGAAAAUUUAAAUUUAUAUACCUCGCCACACUUGGAAAUAAUCAGCCCAUUAUUUAUUUUUAUUAUUAUUAAACACGCUGAUAAAAUAUAUAGUUAUUAGAAAAAAAAGAACUUUUCUUUUGGACUAGGGACCAAAUAGUGUGAAAGGGGGUCGGUCGGCGGCUCUUCCCCCUUUCGCCAGCCGACUCGCUCUCGCUCUAAUCGCACACUCUCUCACCGCGGCUCCGACAACCAUUGUGCGUGCACACACGCAUCUGCAAGCGGACCGGCGCGCAGCUCGCCUCUCCAAAACCCCCGACCGGGAGACGAGGACAACCCGCAAAAAGCGCUUUUAUUUCUAACACAGAUGUUUUGCUUGUAGUUGCUCCGGGAAUCUACUGGAGGAAAAAGCCUGCCCGGCCGGGUCUCCCCCAAGAGAGCCCAGCACAAAGCCCCCCCAGUCAGAUGCAGAACGACCGUCCAUCUGCCACCAUCUCGCUGAGAGAUUUCAUUUUCACACUCAAGUCGCGCAUAAUCCAAUCCGAUUCAAAAAUGACAACGGAACUGUUUUAUUUUUUUCAAAACAGGCACCCCCCCCCCCCUGGGGUGGAUUUAUUUAGGGGAAGACGUAGCGGGGUAAAGACCACUUGAACUCGCAAGCGCAUUAGCUCGGCUGGAGCAUAUUUCAACCGUAUGAUAUCAUUAUUAUGAUGCUAACUAUGAAUCUCAAUUUCUCCGUGUCGACUUCAGGCUCCUUCGGGCUACUUUGAAUUUGCUCAGAGUGCAAAAAAAAAA